UUUAAUAUGGCAGAUUUUAGUGCAUUGGAUUUAAACUCCAAAUAAAAAGAUUUUCUUUUAUUAAAA
rnacentral:tRNA from 1 species